rnacentral:rRNA from 1 species
AAAUUGAAGAGUUUGAUCAUGGCUCAGAUUGAACGCUGGCGGCAGGCCUAACACAUGCAAGUCGAACGGUAACAGGAAACAGCUUGCUGUUUCGCUGACGAGUGGCGGACGGGUGAGUAAUGUCUGGGAAACUGCCUGAUGGAGGGGGAUAACUACUGGAAACGGUAGCUAAUACCGCAUAACGUUGCAAGACCAAAGAGGGGGACCUUCGGGCCUCUUGCCAUCGGAUGUGCCCAGAUGGGAUUAGCUUGUUGGUGGGGUAACGGCUCACCAAGGCGACGAUCCCUAGCUGGUCUGAGAGGAUGACCAGCCACACUGGAACUGAGACACGGUCCAGACUCCUACGGGAGGCAGCAGUGGGGAAUAUUGCACAAUGGGCGCAAGCCUGAUGCAGCCAUGC